UACGGAGGGAGCUAGCGUUGUUCGGAAUUACUGGGCGUAAAGCGCACGUAGGCGGCUUUGUAAGUUAGAGGUGAAAGCCCGGGGCUCAACUCCGGAACUGCCUUUAAGACUGCAUCGCUUGAAUCCGGGAGAGGUGAGUGGAAUUCCGAGUGUAGAGGUGAAAUUCGUAGAUAUUCGGAAGAACACCAGUGGCGAAGGCGGCUCACUGGCCCGGUUCUGACGCUGAGGUGCGAAAGCGUGGGGAGCAAACAGG
rnacentral:rRNA from 1 species